rnacentral:lncRNA from 1 species
AGUUCCCAUAACGAGGGUUAGGCACAAAAUUUGGGAGGCGUUAUGCCGGUUAGGCUGUCGAAAAAGGUGACCGUGCCCAAACCUAAGAGCCAAAGAGGUACUUACUAAACGAUUAAGGAUUACAAUACUAGUAUUCAAAACGCAUGACGUUCCCUUUGCUUUUCGGUUGUUUUUUUUGUGAAAUAUCCCAUUAAUACCCUCUGCAGGUGUGCGACAUCCUGUUCCUGAGCCUUUCCCUGGGGCACCAACUCUCCAGUAUCCACCGCAGCAGACGUCUGCGUCCGCACGUUGUUACAAUUUCGACACCAGGGCCCAGCGCAGUUCGAUGGCAACCCACGCCUCCUACUGCAUAUGCUAAGAGAAUGGAGCUAUCCCACGUACCCUCACGAGUACGGCGGCAGCUUAACCUACGGACGGGGAGAGUAUGGCGCCCGAGCACUGCUUUUAGCACGCCAUAUAUGCCGGUGAAACCCGCUGGCGCCCCGUGUUCCUACGUGCAUACCAAUCUGGACUGAUCCGGAAAUGUUCGAACCACAUUUGCACACAGGAUUAUUCAACUACCGCAUGCGCGAUACCUGCUACUGCUGCUGUCUCUUGUGACCCACUUGUCGCCUCUUGUCACUAUGAGCCCAAGUGCAACAAUCCUGCACCAACCAACCAACCAACCAGCCAGCCAUUCAGCAAUUAUACCGGAUGAGGAACGGGCUCCGAUAGCCGAAUAUCACGGUAGUUCUUAAAUUGCUUUGCUAGAUCUUUGCUGGCAAGCCAAAUGGUGCAUGGAGUGAACUCGCGGGAAAAUAAUCUGACAAGUUGUUCCACAAGCUCCCGCUAGAGGCAUUCCAGUUGUCCUGUUGCUCAAGGCUGAGCCCGGCCUCGGUACAUAUUUUAUCAUCGUACAUUACGUACAGCCUUGACUCGUGUAAUCCUUAGAGUUCUAAGCUUGUAGCACAAAACGCUGAGAAGUGUGAUGUGAGCACCCAGGACAGCGCUGUGGGAUAAGUGGUGUUGCGGAUCUUGGUACGUGAGGACGCGCCUCCAGUACCGGGGGAAAACCUUGUGCAGAGAGCCGAACAUCACAAUAGCCUUGAGCUGCUCAACCCAACCUCCGCUGACAUGCCAAACAAUUCAUGCGACGGAAUUCACUGGCUGGCAGAUCGUUCCGCAAACGCCGGUGGCAGCGACGCAGGGCUUGGCACGAACAUGAUACAGUGUCGUCCACAUAGCUAG